UGACCUCGGAUCAGGUAGGGAUACCCGCUGAANNNNNNNNNNNNNNNNNNNNNNNNNNNUGAAAGCUGGCUCCUUCGGAGUCCGCAUUGUAAUUUGCAGAGGAUGCUUUGGGUGCGGCCCCCGUCUAAGUGCCCUGGAACGGGCCGUCAGAGAGGGUGAGAAUCCCGUCUUGGGCGGGGUGUCCGUGCCCGUGUAAAGCUCCUUCGACGAGUCGAGUUGUUUGGGAAUGCAGCUCUAAAUGGGUGGUAAAUUUCAUCUAAAGCUAAAUACUGGCCGGAGACCGAUAGCGCACAAGUAGAGUGAUCGAAAGAUGAAAAGCACUUUGAAAAGAGAGUUAAACAGCACGUGAAAUUGUUGAAAGGGAAGCGCUUGCGACCAGACUCGCCCGCGGGGUUCAGCCGGCAUUCGUGCCGGUGUACUUCCCCGUGGGCGGGCCAGCGUCGGUUUGGGCGGCCGGUCAAAGGCCCCUGGAAUGUAGUACCCUCCGGGGUACCUUAUAGCCAGGGGUGCAAUGCGGCCAGCCUGGACCGAGGAACGCGCUUCGGCACGGACGCUGGCAUAAUGGUCGUAAACGACCCGUCUUGAAACACGGACCAAGGAGUCUAACAUCUACGCGAGUGUUCGGGUGUCAAACCCGUGCGCGCAGUGAAAGCGAACGGAGGUGGGAGCCCCCUCGCGGGGCGCACCAUCGACCGAUCCUGAUGUCUUCGGAUGGAUUUGAGUAAGAGCGUAAAUGUGGGGACCCGAAAGAUGGUGAAC
rnacentral:ncRNA from 1 species